rnacentral:pre_miRNA from 1 species
CAACUACUCCCUCUGUCCCAAAUUUCUUGUCUUAGAUUUGUCUAGAUACAGAUGUAUCUAAUACUAAAAUGUGACUUGAUACAUCCGUAUCUAGACAAAUCUAAAACAAGAAUUUUGGGACGGAGGGAGUACUUU